rnacentral:rRNA from 1 species
GACGAACGCUGGCGGCGUGCUUAACACAUGCAAGUCGAACGAAGCUUGAUUACGGAUUCUUCGGAUGAAGUAUGAUAUGACUGAGUGGCGGACGGGUGAGUAACGCGUGAGUAACCUGCCCUUCAGAGGGGGAUAGCGUUUGGAAACGAACGGUAAUACCGCAUAAUGUAUUUUGACCGCAUGAUCGAAAUACCAAAGAUUUAUCGCUGAAGGAUGGACUCGCGUCUGAUUAGGUAGUUGGUGGGGUAACGGCCUACCAAGCCGACGAUCAGUAGCCGGACUGAGAGGUUGAUCGGCCACAUUGGGACUGAGACACGGCCCAGACUCCUACGGGAGGCAGCAGUGGGGAAUAUUGCACAAUGGGCGCAAGCCUGAUGCAGCAACGCCGCGUGAAGGAAGACGGUUUUCGGAUUGUAAACUUCUGUUCUUAGUGAAGAAUAAUGACGUUAGCUAAGGAGCAAGCCACGGCUAACUACGUG